CCCUUAGAUGUUCUGGGCCGCACGCGCGCUACACUGAUGCAUUCAACGAGUCUAAAACCUGCUCUGAUAGGGGUGGGUAAUCUUUUGAAUGUGCAUCGUGAUUGGGAUAGAUGAUUGCAAUUUUUCAUCUUCAACGAGGAAUGCCUAGUAAACGCAAGUCAUCAGCUUGCAUUGAUUACGUCCCUGCCCUUUGUACGCACCGCCCGUCGCUCCUACCGAUUGAGUGGUCCGGUGAGGCUUUGGGAUCUGAGCGGAAAGAGCGUUUCGCUGUUUCUGCUCGGAAAACUCAGUCGAACCUUAUCAUUUAGAGGAAGGAGAAGUCGUAACA
rnacentral:rRNA from 1 species